AACCCGUACAAUCACCGAAGUUAAGCAACGUUGUGCCUGGUCAGUACCUAUAUGGGUGACUGCUUGGGAAUACCAGGUGCUGUAA